rnacentral:rRNA from 1 species
GAUGAACGCUGGCUACAGGCUUAACACAUGCAAGUCGAGGGGAAACGACGGGGAAGCUUGCUUCCCCGGGCGUCGACCGGCGCACGGGUGAGUAACGCGUAUCCAACCUGCCUCUGACUGAGGGAUAACCCGUCGAAAGUCGGCCUAAUACCUCAUGGCAUCGUCUGCGGGCAUCCAACGACGAUUAAAGAUUUCAUCGGUCAGGGAUGGGGAUGCGUCUGAUUAGCUUGUUGGCGGGGUAACGGCCCACCAAGGCUACGAUCAGUAGGGGUUCUGAGAGGAAGGUCCCCCACAUUGGAACUAAGACACGGUCCAAACUCCUACGGGAGGCAGCAGUGAGGAAUAUUGGUCAAUGGGCGGGAGCCUGAACCAGCCAAGUAGCGUGCAGGAUGACGGCCCUAUGGGUUGUAAACUGCUUUUAUGCGGGGAUAAAGUGAGGGACGUGUCCUUCAUUGCAGGUACCGCAUGAAUAAGGACCGGCUAAUUCCGUG